rnacentral:rRNA from 1 species
GGAGUUCGGUCCGUGUCUCAGUACCGAUGUGUGGGACCUUCCUUUUAGAACCCAUAGGCAUCAUCGUCUUGGUGGGCCGUUGCCCCGCCAACUAACUAAUGCCACGCAUGCCCAUCCAUCACCUAUGAAUAUUUAAUCAAAUGGGGAUGCCCCCUCUUGAUGCCAUCGGAGUUUAAUCGUCCUUUCGGUCGGCUAUCUCCGUGUGAUGGGCAGGUUGCAUACGCGUUACUCACCCGUCCGCCGCUCGUCAUCAAAAUAUUGCUAUCUCAUGUUACCGCUCGACUUGCAUGUGUUAGGCCUGCCGCUAGCGUUUAUC